AAUGAACGCUGGCGGCAGGCCUAAACAUGCAAGUCGAACGCUGUAGCAAUACAGAGUGGCGCACGGGUGAGUAACAUGUGGGAAUAUGCCUAUUGGUACGGAACAACGUUUGGAAACGAACGCUAAUACCGUAUGGUCCCUUCGGGGUAAAGAUUUAUCGCCAAUAGAUUAGCCCGCACUAGAUUAGCUAGUUGGUGAGGUAAGAGCUCACCAAGCCGACGAUCGGUAGCUGGUCUGAGAGGAUGAUCAGCCACACUGGGACUGAGAUACGGCCCAGACUCCUACGGGAGGCAGCAGUGGGGAAUAUUGGACAAUGGGGGCAACCCUGAUCCAGCAAUGCCGCGUGAGUGAUGAAGGCCUUAGGGUUGUAAAGCUCUUUUGCCAGGGAGAUGAUGACUGUACCUGGAGAAUAAGCCCCGGCUAACCUUCGUGCCAGCAGCCGCGGUAAU
rnacentral:rRNA from 1 species